UGAGGAGGUGUUACUUACCUGUAAUGUGCAGAGGUGAGAGAAGGUUGCAAGGAAGCUGUGCAAAGAAUUUGUAGAGGACACGUAAGUUCACAGGUGGAAUGGAUUCUAAGUCUGUCACAGUCUCUCAUUUCUGCUCUUCCUUUGUCUUAGAGAAGACAAAGCCUUCUGUGAUCUGGAGCCACAGCCGGCCAGAAUUGCAAGACAAAGCCCAUUUUCCACGAAGGAAGGCCCUUCUCCCCAUGUUCCAGUACAUCCAGUGCUUUCAGGGCACCGAAACGUCCUCAAGUGAGCAAGAGAAAAUGUUCAUGGGACAGAGCCCCUUGGCAGAGCCAACAUUUUUCAACAUGGAUAUGGAAUCAGCCAAGACAUCUCAGUAAGACUUCAUUCUGAGAAUCCCUGCCAACCUUUUCAGACAGAGUUGGUAAGCCAGGGACGGGGGUGCUGGCUGGAAAUGAAGACGUAAGAACACCAC
ensembl:lncRNA